rnacentral:rRNA from 1 species
UACGGAGGGGGCUAGCGUUGUUCGGAAUUACUGGGCGUAAAGCGCACGUAGGCGGCUUUCUAAGUCGGGGGUGAAAUCCUGGAGCUCAACUCCAGAACUGCCUUCGAUACUGGAGAGCUUGAGUCCGGGAGAGGUGAGUGGAACUGCGAGUGUAGAGGUGAAAUUCGUAGAUAUUCGCAAGAACACCAGUGGCGAAGGCGGCUCACUGGCCCGGUACUGACGCUGAGGUGCGAAAGCGUGGGGAGCAAACAGG